CAACAACAGCUCGCACUUCAGCGCCCACCGCCGGACGCACACAGAACAGCAUGCGAGAUUUAGGCCACCACUGGCCAACAGAACGUCCCUCAUGAUGGACAUGCUCUCUAUCUGUGACCUCGGGAAGGGACUCUUCAGCUGCAGCGACCCAGGCCCUGGACUUGUCGCCAUCGGCAGGAUCUUCAGCCAGCUCCUCCGACAGGGCACAGUAUUUCUUAGGGCAACAGAAUCGUCGGGAUGAAGAGGGCCUCCAGAGACUCUGAUAAACCCUUCAGGCGGACAAGACAAUAGGGGAGGGAACGGCAUUACCGGCAGAAGGAAGAGCAUGUACAGUAGCUCAAAGGAAUGAACCGCCCAACAGGUUUAAGGGAAGAAAGUGUCAGUUGCUGGACUCUCCGGUGAAAACGGACCAGACAAUGCAGGGCCCUGAACGCCAAGUUGAGGAGCUCAGAGCAUCCAGAAGGCGAAGGGGAGGCUCGGAGCCGCCUCUGAAUAACGGCCUUCCGGCUCCGUCUCGGGUGAUGUCCGAGCUCAGCGAUGAAGCCAGCGAGCCGGA
ensembl:lncRNA novel transcript